ensembl:lncRNA
AAUUUAGUGAGCUGAAUCAGUUCACUGCAGGGUCAGACAAGCACUGGGGCCCUCAGUGCUGGAGCAGAGGAUGGGACCGGGGCUGGGGCACACCUGGCUGCAGUUCGGGUGUUCUGCUGCCAUCACUUGUGAGACUGUGAGUUGUCCUGCAAGGCUGAGGCCCUGGCUCCCCAAAGUGCAGCGGUGCUUCCAGCGGCUGAUGCACAGCACUGAUGGGCGGCAGGGAGAGACCUGCGUGGAGAGUUUCCGUCAGGCUGCGGCCAUCAGUGUGAGGCUGCUGGGCCGGCUCCAGCCAGCCUGCGUGAUAUUUCCUCUGGAGCUUCAGUCGGAUUAGAUAUUCAUCUUCUCUUCCUGUUCCAAACCGUUGUUUAGUGUUGAUGUGUCCUCUCGUGCUGUUGCCAAGUUCCACGCAGUGGUGAUUCCAGUACCACAACAACCUAAAGCCCAGGCUCAGCAGCAGUGGAUCCAGACCUGCUCCCCAGGCUGGGGAUGCUCACCACAAUGGUUUCCCUUCUGGUAAGGGAGCUCGCCAUGCCUGGGCUGCCUGCAACUUGCUUUCCUGCAGAGUGACUUCAACCUGCCCACAGCACCUUGCACGUGAUCCUUGUAUGUGGAGCUUUGCCUUCCAGACUGCACUGUGCCCUUCAAUAUUGUGGUGCUGUUGGCUGGCCUCUACACCAGGAUAGCUGUUACAGCUCUUCUCAUGCCCCACUUUGGACAGGAGCCCGGCAAAAUGACUGUCUCACCAGUGAAGUAAUGAAGGGUGCUGCAGGGAAAUCUUAACACCGUGGUAUUUGAACAUAAUCAUUAAGCCUUUACACUUUUGAUAGAUCACAUGACUGGGUACGAAAUGACUGCAUAAAAACCUAUCUCAUCUGGGAUAGAUGUUAAUAUUCCCCUGGAAAUGCAAGUAGCCAAAUGUUUCCUAAAUGGCUACAGUUCUCUAAAGGAAGAGGGUUUCCUUUGGCAUUUUUUGUUUGGAUUUGCUGUUGUUUUGUUGUCUUUUUUUUCCUCUUUCAAAUCCUUGGUUAUACAAUAACUGCAAACAAAUACGUACAUGCAGAAGUUCACAGCUUCUCACAUGGUACAUGUGCCAUAGAACGGGACAGCGGACACAUAAUGAGGAGCCUAAUCCAUUUCUGAAAUCCAGUCACAGGACUGAUGGCUUAGAAAGACUUUUAAAACUCAUUGUCUGGGAGUACAAGGAUGAAUAACUGUAAUAAGCUUUGAAAUGUAUUUCCUUAAGAACAAUGCGGUCUAUUCCUUUAAGUUGAGGCCUUUGAUUCAUUCAAAGGGCUCUGCUGAGCGCUAAGGAGGGGAGGUAGGAGUCAGGCUGGAAUUAAAGCUUUGGCCUUGGUAGAGGACCUGUAUCUACAAAAGCUUGUUGCAAUCAAAACCCCAAGCAAUCCCACAAAGCCCCUCCUCCAGAUCUGCAACCCUGUGCACAGAAAAGAUGUCAGCUUUUGCUGUAGUUGUUACAGCAUUUUAAUUUCAAAUGGGACUGCAGACCCCUGUUAAUAUUGGUUGGGAAGCAAUAACAUGGAUAAGUUCUGUAGGAAAAAUAUAAAAGCCAGGGAAAAAAAAUUGUGUCAGUGUACCUCUGGUGUCAGUGUGUGAAGUGCCAGCAUACAUAAUGCUGCUUUUCUCCCUUAUUUUUUCAGCCUCAGAAGGACUGGGCUCUUCUCUGUCUGCCUGACUCUGUAAAGAAAUGACCAUGGAGAAGUGUUUCUCGGUGAUGAAUUUCACACAGAAAUCAGAUCCAAGGUCGUCUUCUUCUCUGGCAGGUCUGUGAUUUGGGGCCAGCCUUGAGGAAAUUCUGUCCUCUGCACGUGAGCAUAAGUCAAAACGGGAAGCGGUUCAGCAGAAGUCAGGAACGCUUCCACCGCAAUAAAUGAAAGCGUAAAUUAAAGCAGCUUCAAGGAGCAGCCGUGGCCUUAACACCACCUCUGAAAGGCUCAGUGCUUGCAGACUCAUAGAAAAAAUGGGUUUGGAAAGAUCUGUAGGCAUCCGGAUGAACCAUCUGCUCAGAGCUAACUUCCAAGCUUGAUGGGAGCCAUGCAGGGUAUUACCAGCUGGGUUUGCAAAACCAAAUGCCGUGGAGAAGGGAGUCCUUCUGUCUCAGGAGCAUUGUCACUUGCAGAUGAGCUGUGCCUAGCUUGGGGAUUUAUUGUUAAUUUUGCUCCUGUCUCAAAAGCCUUCGAUCACUCAGGCAAAUUAGAAGCCACAUAAUAAAGAAGAGAUCGGUCAUUCCCUCUCUCCUCCUCUCCCUUGAGCCUGUGCUAAUCGCUUAAAUAAUUCUUCUUAUCUCUAACCAUCCUUUUUUUAUUCUCUUCAAAGCAUCCUUUGGGAAAUGUACUCCAAAGACAGAGCUGAGAGUCUGGUAGCAAAUAAACCGAGUUUCAGUUCCAUCCCUUUUUCCUCUGUAGACCAGGGAGCCCCAGGGAGAUGGGAGUACCUGAGCAGUGUGGGGACCUGAUGGUGGGUGCCUGAGCUCAGAGCCCAUUGCCCUGAUUGAGGCUCUGGUGCAGUGAGGAAGAUCUGGGCAUAAUAUAGUGCACACUCUGUUCUGCAGUCUAGUCUGCUGCUCACUGCUAGGUUUACAGAGAAGAAAGCUGCUGCAUGCCAAAAUUACAUAAAUUCUGCUGGUUUCCUAUAGCCUAAGCCUCACAUUCACUAGGUAUGAUUACCUCAUGCUCACCUCUGCACCUGGGGAGUACACAAGGCCAACAAACAAGCCGAGCCAGAAAAAAGCUUCCUGGUUCCUGACAUCACUUUGCUUAUUCAGUGAAACGUGGUGUGCGAGGUCGGGGCGGGGGCACGUGGGGCUGCUGGGCGCAGUGCUUGUUUGUUGGGCUCAGCCUGGCCCUGGUGGGCUCUGCCAGGUGAGCUCUGGUUGCAGGAGGGCAGUGAGGGCAGUGUCACUCUGGGGGAGCACAAGCUGUUCCCUACUCACGUGGGCAGUGCUGCUCAGGAGGGUGAAACAUGAGCUUUUCUUCGCUGGAGGGCGGCAGGUGACGGUCAUGAACCACGACCAGGGCAGGAAAACCUCCGCAGAUAAAGAAGUGCCUUUUCAGCCCAAACAAGGGGUUUCGUAGACAAUUUUUAUUUGUUUUAGAAUUUGUGUUUCCCUGUGAAAAUUUGAUAGAUUUUCCUUUUUAAAUCAAAAUAUCUUUUCAAGGGAAACAAGACCUCAUUUACCUUCCUCUGCGUAAAGCUUGCUGUCUUCUUCAGCUGUCCCAUGAGCUUGUAGGUAGAAGUUAGCACACAUUAUAUGGAACAGAAAGAUGAUCUAUAGUAAGGACCGCUGUGUUUUCAUUUGUAUGCGCUCCAUUCUUACGUGAUGCUUUGAGCCAAGUGAUGCUGGAGGCAGCAGGAAGGUGGGACAGGCUCAAGGCUCGCUGUCUUUAACUGCAGGUUUCACAAUACAAAGGAGCCGCACCAAUGAGGGAGGCACCACUGAUGCCUGGGCUCUGGCGUGCUCUCACUUUGCCAGACACCCAAAACCCAUUUGUGAGUGAGGCACUGUAGUGUCUCAACCACAGGUUGUGUCAUAAAGCAAAAUCCAUCCGCAUUUCCUCAGUUCCAGCCUUCGGGAACUGUUGGCUUUCCUUUCACCCGUCUGUCUGCCUUCCCGGCUAUUGCUCCGAAGCGCUCUGCCACGCCUUGCUGCUCUGUGCCCUCAUCUAAGUCGUUAAUUAAAUCACUCAGUGGGAGCAUCAAGAUAGUCACGGGAUGGAACGAGUGAUCCCAUUGCUGCCACGGUUGUCCUUCUGCUCCCUCCCCACCCACCUCUUCCAUUUUGCUCCUGUUGUAUCAUGUCUCUGUGGAACAUUACCAUUUCAAGGCAGAGACUGUGCCAUUGUUUUCUGAGAACCACCCAGGAUAGUGAAGGGAGCUCAGUAAUAAUAACUAUUAUUAACACUGUGGUAGAGGGCGGAAUUUGGCUGCUGUAUCCUUUUUGUGUGCAGGGCUUUAUGCUGAGAUACACUGCUCUGCUCUGGCGUGUGCAUGCACUUGGAAAAAAUAGAGCAUAUGGACUUUUCUUCAGUUCCCAACGUUCCUGAAAGUACUUUUGAGUCAUUGUAGCUUGAAAAUGUCCUUUGCAGCGAGCUCCUCCUGUCCCCGUGCUGUGCGUGUCCCCGGCUGGAUGAGCGGUGCUGCAGGCCACGAGGUGCCCCGUGAUAGCGGCUGUGAACAGGCGGCUGUGCUGCUGCGAGGUGGGGGGCUGGCGGGCACUGAGCAGCCCAGGAGCUGUUGCUGCAGAAGUGGGUCUGUGUGUAGGUCCCACUGUUCCUCAGCCUCAAGUCUCGCCUGUUUUUUUAACAUAAUUGACUUAAUUAGCUCAGUUGAAUGGGGAUUGUACAAUAAAUGGAAUCUACAUGCUUCCUCUGAGGAGUGGUGCUGUACACAGCAACUGGAGCAGCAGUGUUUCUUUAGCCCACACCAAACUCUUGGUUUGUACUGUGACUUGCAAAAGAAAUGAUGUCACUAAUACAACGACCACUCAUUUCUGUGUUUCUCAGUGGGUCUUCUGACAGGAUCGUUUCAGUGACUGCCCUCCAGCUCAGUAUUUAUUUCAAACAUCAGUUUCACAUCUAGUAAUAGCCAUUUACUUCUUUCUGAUUGUUUUGGUACCUGGUAAAGGGAGCAAAAGGGCAGAACCCUUCAGAAGCAGCAAGCACAUCCAAGUACAUCCAUUAUUGCAUUACCUCUGAUCAGGUUCUUGGAGCUUUGGUCACUUUUUUUUUGUUUUGUUUUGUUUUGUUUUAAUUGAUUUUCUGAGUUAUUGAGGUUUGGAAUACAAAGUGUUCUUUGAUCCUUGGUACUGUUUUUUAAUACCCAAACUGUUUGAUGCUUCCUAUAGCAAAACGACAUCUUGCAGUUCAAUCAUCUCUCCACUACAAAAUGAGGUCUGCAGGAUCCUCUGAUUUGUAUGGCUUAGGGGAGAACUUCCUAUCAGCUGGGACCGGAACUCAGUCUUUGGACCUCUUUUCUUCACCGUGUUUUAAGUCACUGUCUGACUCUUGCCAUUUAAUUAACUUUGUAGCACUUGACAGCAAAACAAGGAUGGUUUUAUGUUCACUCAGGAGGGUUAAGAUGCUUAAUUAGGCUGUGCUUUUGAAGUAGUUCCCUUAAUUCACUGCAGAAGAUCGGUGUAUUCAUGUGUAUCACAUGCACUGCAUUUAAAUAGGUUUAUACCAAGAGCAUUAGGUGAGUGUAUGCUUUGGAAGAACCUUGUGUGCACCUCUGCCCAUGAUAGCAUUUUGCGUCAGCUCACUUCUUUGAGUCAGAAAUGUAAAUGUGGUAAUCAAUAUCUCCGUGAGCCUGGAAGGCAAAGCCCCACAAUUAACAAUAACGUGCAGGUGAUAAUUAAGCUUGUUUUAUAUGUCCCAGUUCUGGAGGCUGAUAACACAGACAAUCUCAGCUGCCUGGUCAUAGCUGAUAUUUGGGGACGGGCAGCAAGGAAGCUAAGAUAUUUUUUAAAAAGAUGAUGUGGUCAUGCAGGAAUGCAGUCAUGUGAAAAGUACCUAUGAUAGAGGGGGAAAAAAUGCUUCAUUCUUCCCUAGCUAGGUCUCUCCAUUUCUUCCCUGUGAUCAACAUAACACAUGUCAGAAACUGAGUUUACGUGGACCAAGACUUGGCACGUUGUACCAGCAAGGCAUUGGCUCCUGGUGAUGUGAGGCGCUGGCAAGGUGCUUGGGCCAGCGAGCAGCCCACACUAGGUGAUAAUUUAUGGCUACCUGUAAUCUCCUCUAAAUAGAAACCAUUUAUAUUCUUGCUAGGGAAGCGAGAAAUGACCAGACAAUGAGAGUUCAGCCAAACCAAACCUUCCUAUAACUCUGCAAAAGGCAAACGCUCUCUGGUACUGACAUUAACAAUGGUAUGGGCUCUUAGAAACCGUACAAUUUCGGUUUUAUUUAUUUUAAUACUGUUUGCCUGUGAAAUUUCAGAAGCUGGCAGUUUAUAAGAGCAGAAGCUGAGUUUUUACUCUUGGAUUUUGAUUCAGUUUCUUUAAAGCACAAGAAAGACUGAGCACCAGCCCAGUGCUGUGCAGCAUUUGUGCCCUCCCAAUGGGUGCUGUGUUGAUAACCCAAAGGUGCAAUACAACAGCCGUUACUCAGUGAUGCUGUUGAGCACUGCAGCAGUGGUGCAGAUGUUAUCCUUGCCCCACCCUGUGGUUUGGCAUCAUGCUGCCCUCCCUGCAAACUCCCAUCUAUGUGCUGGGAGGUAAGGACGGGUCUGGGGGUGCGCCAGGCCAUGGCCAGUGGGAGCUGUGCUGGAGGCAGUGAGUUUGGGGAAGGUGUUGGGCUUUGAAAAAAGCUGGUAGCCUGAAGGGGCAGCAGAGGCUGCUCUCAGUCCUCCAGGUACUUGGUCUGUGCUGCUGUGCUUGGGUGAAGGCUUCCAACAAUGGGCCUGAGGCCUCCUGUGGGAUCUGAUCACAUCAGGUCUUUGGGGGAUGCGCUUUGGUAAAUCAGAAAGUGAGCUCUCCACUCACAGGCCCUCUUCUCUCUCUAAGAUUUAGUAUGUCCAUAGUUGGCACCCAAAUGCUACGGUGUGAGUAUAGGCAUGCACUGAACUAACAGAUCCAGCUGGAGAAUCUCAGUUUGGAUCUACCUGUUUCUUGAACCUGGCUUAUUUAUAAGCUGAGAUCAAGGAUUCCACAUGACAUUUCCCCAAUCCCAUGGGUGCUAUGCCUAUUUCUGGUAUGAGCUAUUCUCUGCCCUGUCUGUCUGUAUGUGUUAUUUAUCUUUACACAUGUGCCUAGCUUCAUGUUAUUAUUUAUGAAUGCUCCUCAUCAUUCUCCCAAAGAGAGCCCAACACUGCAAGGGGGCAGGGACUCUGUUUCUUACACACAGUAACUCAGUACAGCCUUUAGGCAUCACUGAAACUCAAAGCAUUCAUUCCAUUGAGUUUAGCCAGUAAAAAGCACUUCACCUGUCUCACACUUCUUGGAGUUUUACUGAUUUCCCUUCUGUGGAGCAACAACUUCACCACAAUUCUUCCCUUC